UAAAGCGUGCGCAGGCGGUUUUGUAAGACUGUCGUGAAAUCCCCGGGCUCAACCUGGGAAUGGCGAUGGUGACUGCAAGGCUAGAGUUUGGCAGAGGGGGGUAGAAUUCCACGUGUAGCAGUGAAAUGCGUAGAUAUGUGGAGGAACACCGAUGGCGAAGGCAGCCCCCUGGGUCAAAACUGACGCUCAUGCACGAAAGCGUGGGGAGCAAACAGGAUUAGAUACCGAGU
rnacentral:rRNA from 1 species